rnacentral:rRNA from 1 species
CCGACGGGAGGCAGCAGUGGGGAAUUUUGGGCAAUGGGCGAAAGCCUGAUCCAGCAAUGCCGCGUGUGGGAAGAAGGCCUUCGGGUUGUAAACCACUUUUGUACGGAACGAAACGGUCUGCUUUAAUACGGUGGGCUGAUGACGGUACCGUAAGAAUAAGCACCGGCUAACUACGUGCCAGCAGCCGCGGUAAU